rnacentral:rRNA from 1 species
GAUGAACGCUGGCGGCGUGCCUAAUACAUGCAAGUCGAGCGAACAGACGAGGAGCUUGCUCCUCUGACGUUAGCGGCGGACGGGUGAGUAACACGUGGAUAACCUCCCUAUAAGACUGGGAUAAUUUCGGGAAACCGGAGCUAAUACCGGAUAAUAUAUUGAACCGCAUGGUUCAAUAGUGAAAGACGGUUUUGCUGUCACUUAUAGAUGGAUCCGCGCCGCAUUAGCUAGUUGGUAAGGUAACGGCUUACCAAGGCAACGAUGCGUAGCCGACCUGAGAGGGUGAUCGGCCACACUGGAACUGAGACACGGUCCAGACUCCUACGGGAGGCAGCAGUAGGGAAUCUUCCGCAAUGGGCGAAAGCCUGACGGAGCAACGCCGCGUGAGUGAUGAAGGUCUUCGGAUCGUAAAACUCUGUUAUUAGGGAAGAACAAAUGUGUAAGUAACUAUGCACGUCUUGACGGUACCUAAUCAGAAAGCCACGGCUAACUACGUG